rnacentral:misc_RNA from 1 species
UAUAUACUUAUUCACUUUGAAAACUCUGAUAGCGCGAUGUAGUAUACGUCAGUUUUCUCUAAUUACGUAGUUUGUAGUCGUUCGUAUUUCGCGCGAUAGAUGUCGCUACAUCACUCCCCUCCGAGACCGGAGGUCGAUAGCAGGUUAAGUCGUCCAUUCAUCUUGUGAUGCUUGCCGGGCCAGUGGAAUGUUCCAGUGAGUCGGAACCAGAUGCCGCAUAGUUCACGGUGAGUCGGAACUGUCUGCGGUGAUGCUGCAUAUGCUCCAGUGAGUCGGAGUGGUGCAGUGCUGCGUAGUGGCUGCUGCUGCGUCGACCAGGAGAGAAGUGCGUCUCUGCUUGCUGACCGGCCGAAGUGCAGUGUACUGUGCCAAAGUCGCUGAGAAGGCUGUGGGUGAUGACCAGGAAUGCGCGUCCGCUGCAUGCUGGUGGUCAGGAUACCCGUAGUAGCCGUAAAUGCUGGCUGGCUGAAGUAGUAGAUGCUGGAUGCUAUUCGCUGCUCGAAAGCUUGAGGAAGUGAUGAUAACGAUGAAGGCUGCGCUGAUGUUCAUGCUCGGGGUCACCAGUUUGGUAGUGUGAAGAAUCACGUCGGGAUCUUGUAUAUAUACUUAUUCACUUUGAAAACUCUGAUAGCGCGAUGUAGUAUACGUCAGUUUUCUCUAAUUACGUAGUUUGUAGUCGUUCGUAUUUCGCGCGAUAGAUGUCGCUACAU